rnacentral:lncRNA from 1 species
CCCCCCCCGCGAGCCUCCGGCCCCCUGCGUGUACACACACACCUGCAGGCCCGGCAGAAGUGAUGCUCAACGGGGCCUCCACACAUCCCCAUAGCGCGCUUGGGCGCACCAGGGUGGAGGAAAUAUUGGGGCGACGCGGCUCGGAGUUCACCCUAAAAUGGGCGCCUGGGCAGCCCCUAGAAAGAAACUCAAGCAGGGCGCCGCUCACCCGCCACCCUCUGCAGCUCCCACCGCAGCCAAGAUAAAAACGUUAGCGGGUGAGAGCGGGAGGAGCAGGAAGAAAGUAUAUUUUUUUCUAAAAAAGGAAGGAAACACCUGCCCCCUUCUCCAUAGGGAGGAGGGAAGCGCCCCUACUUCGGGAAGUCGCCUUUUCCCGCUGACAAGCUGCCCCCGCCGGUUCGCAGCUCCGGGCUCUGAGCUCCAGAUCGCAGCCCCUAUCCCGGAGCGAAGCUAAGGCAACUGCGUCUCCUCUCACCGACAAGACUCCGGCUCAGACGGGUGGGCGGCGAGUAGGGCUCCAGUCACAGACUGGCGCUAGCAAAAUGGAGGAGGAGAGGCAGUGAUGUGUGGUAGAGGAGGAAGAGGAGGAGGAGGGCCAGCGAUGUCUGGUGGAGGAGGAGGAGGGCAAGCAAAGUCUGGUAAAGGAGGAGGAGGAGGGCCAGCGAUGUCUGGUAGAGGAGGAGGAGGAGGAGGAGGAGGAGGGCCAGCGAUGUCUGGUUAAGGAGGAGGAGAAGGAGGGUCAGUGAUGUCUGGUGGAGGAGGAGGAGGAGGAGGAGGAGGAGGAGGAGGGCCAGCAAUGUCUGGAAGAGGAGGAGGAGGAGGAGGGUCAGUGAUGUCUUGUUGAGGAGCUGGAGGAGGUGGAAGAGGGCCAGCAAUGUCUGGUCGAGGAGCAGGAGGACGAGGCCCUCAAUGUCUGGUAGAGGAGGAGGAGGAGGAGGGCCAGUGAUGUCUGGUAGAGAAGGAGGAGGAGGAGGAGAGGCAGCAAUGUCUGGUGGACGAGGAGGAGGAGGAAGGAGGAGGAGGAGGAGGGCCAGCAAUGUCUGGUGGAGGAGGAGGAGGAGGAAGGCCAGCAAUGUCUGGUGGAGGAGGAGGAGGAGGAGGAGGAGGGCCAGCAAUGUCUGGAGGAGGAGGAGGAGGAGGGCCAGCGAUGUCUGGUGGAGGAGGAGGAGGAGGAGGAGGAGGAGGGCCAGCUGUGUCUGGUUCAGGAGGAGGAGGAGGAGGGCCAGUGAUGUCUGGUAGAGGAGGAGGAGGAGGAGGAGGAAGUCCAGCAAUAUCUGGUAAACGAGAAGGAGGAGGGCCAGCAAUGUCUGGUGGAGGAGGAGGAGAAGGAGGGUCAGUGAUGUCUGGUGGAGGAGGAGGAGGAGGAGGAGGAGGAGGAGGAGGAGGAGGAGGAGGGCCAGCAAUGUCUGGAAGAGGAGGAGGAGGAGGAGGGCCCUCAAUGGCUGGUAGGGGAGGAAGAGGAGGAGGAGGGCCAGUGAUGUCUGGUAGAGAAGGAGGAGGAGGAGGAGAGGCAGCGAUGUCUGGUAGACGAAGAAGAGGAGAAGGGCCAGCAAUGUCUGGUGGAGGAGGAGGAGGAGGAAGGCCAGCAAUGUCUGGUGGAGGAGGAGGAGGAGGAAGGCCAGCAAUGUCUGGUAGAGGAGGAAGAGGAUGAGGAGGAUGAGUUGGACGAGGGCCAGUGAUGCCUGGUAGUGGAGGAGGAGGAGGAAGUCCAGCAAUGUCUGGUAAAGGAGAAGGAGGAGGGCCAGCAAUGUCUGGAAGAGGAGGAGGAGGAGGAGGAGGAGGAGGGCCAGCUAUGUCUGGUUCAGGAGGAGGAGGAGGAGGGCCAGUGAUGUCUGGUAGAGGAGGAGGAGGAGGAGGAGGAGGACGGCCAGCGAUGUCUGGUAGAGGAGGAGGAGGAGGAGGAGGAGGAGGGGCAGUGAUGUGUGGUAGAGGAGGAAGAGGAGGAGGAGGGCCAGCGAUGUCUGGUGGAGGAGGAGGAGGGCAAGCAAAGUCUGGUAAAGGAGAAGGAGGAGGGCCAGCGAUGUCUGGUAGAGGAGGAGGAGGAGGAGGAGGAAGUCCAGCAAUAUCUGGUAAAGGAGAAGGAGGAGGGCCAGCAAUGUCUGGUGGAGGAGGAGGAGGAGGAGGGCCAGUGAUGUCUGGUGGAGGAGGAGGAGGAGGAGGGCCAGUGAUGUCUGGUAGAGGAGGAGGAGGUGGAGGAAAAGGGCCAGCGAUGUCUGGUAGAGGAGCAGAAGGAGGAGGAGGAGGAGGGCCAUCAAUAUCUGGUAGAGGAGGAGGAGGAGGGCCAGCAAUGUGUGGUAAAGGAGAAGGAGGAGGAGGAGGAGGAGGAGAGGCAGUGUUGUCUGGUAGAGGAGGAAGCGGAGGAGGAGGAGGAGGAAGGUCAGAAAUGUCUGGUAGAGGAGGAGGAGGAGGAAGGCCAGUGAUGUCUGGAGGAGGAGGAGGGGAG